CCAGACUCCUACGGGAGGCAGCAGUGGGGAAUAUUGGACAAUGGGGGGAACCCUGAUCCAGCGACGCCGCGUGAGUGAAGAAGUAUUUCGGUAUGUAAAGCUCUAUCAGCAGGGAAGAAAGAAAUGACGGUACCUGACUAAGAAGCCCCGGCUAACUACGUGCCAGCAGCCGCGGUAAUACGUAGGGGGCAAGCGUUAUCCGGAUUUACUGGGUGUAAAGGGAGCGUAGACGGCGAUGCAAGCCAGAUGUGAAAGCCCGGGGCUCAACCCCGGGACUGCAUUUGGAACUGUGUGGCUGGAGUGUCGGAGAGGCAGGCGGAAUUCCUAGUGUAGCGGUGAAAUGCGUAGAUAUUAGGAGGAACACCAGUGGCGAAGGCGGCCUGCUGGACGAUGACUGACGUUGAGGCUCGAAAGCGUGGGGAGCAAACAGGAUUAGAUCCCCGCGUA
rnacentral:rRNA from 1 species